rnacentral:rRNA from 1 species
UAGGGAAUUUUCCGCAAUGGGCGCAAGCCUGACGGAGCAACGCCGCGUGCAGGAGGAAGGCCUUCGGGUUGUAAACUGCUUUUGUCUGUGACGAUUAUGACGGUAGCAGAAGAAUAAGGAUCGGCUAAUUCCGUGCCAGCAGCCGCGGUCAUACGGAAGAUCCGAGCGUUAUCCGGAAUUACUGGGCGUAAAGAGUUGCGUAGGUGGCAGGUAAAGCGAGCAGUGAAAGAUCCCGGCUCAACCGGGGGCGCAUUGUUCGAACUCACCAGCUAGAGCAUGAGAGAGGUAGAUGGAAUUUCUAGUGUAGGAGUGAAAUCCGUAGAUAUUAGAAGGAACACCGAUGGCGUAGGCAGUCUACUGGCUCAUUGCUGACACUAAGGCACGAAAGCGUGGGGAGCGAAC